CAGUAGCCACGGGAAUACGAGGGGGGCAAGCGUUGUUCGGAAUUAUUGGGCGUAAAGGGUGCGUAGGCGGUUUGAUAAGUCUUGUGUGAAAUCUCUGGGCUCAACCCAGAGUCUGCACAGGAAACUGUCGGGCUUGAGAGUGGGAGAGGUGAGUGGAAUUUCCGGUGUAGCGGUGAAAUGCGUAGAUAUCGGAAGGAACACCUGUGGCGAAAGCGGCUCACUGGACCAUUUCUGACGCUGAUGCACGAAAGCUAGGGGAGCAAACAGGAUUAGAUACCCCCGUAGUCCCUGUCUCUUAUAA
rnacentral:rRNA from 1 species